rnacentral:rRNA from 1 species
GAUGAACGCUAGCGGCAGGCUUAAUACAUGCAAGUCGUGGGGCAGCAGGAGUAGCAAUACUUGCUGGCGACCGGCAAACGGGUGCGGAACACGUACGCAACCUUCCUUCAGGCGGGGAAUAGCCCAGAGAAAUUUGGAUUAAUACCCCAUAAUAUUAUGAGAUGGCAUCAUUUUAUAAUUAAAGCUUCGGCACCUGAUGAUGGGCGUGCGCCUGAUUAGGUAGUUGGCGGGGUAACGGCCCACCAAGCCUACGAUCAGUAGCUGAUGUGAGAGCAUGAUCAGCCACACGGGCACUGAGACACGGGCCCGACUCCUACGGGAGGCAGCAGUAAGGAAUAUUGGUCAAUGGACGCAAGUCUGAACCAGCCAUGCCGCGUGGAGGAUGAAGGUCCUCUGGAUUGUAAACUUCUUUUAUCUGGGACGAAAAAAGGAAUUCCUUCCCACUUGACGGUACCCUAGAAUAAGCACCGGCUAACUCCGUGCC